rnacentral:lncRNA from 1 species
CCUAAACAAUUUUUUUUUAUUGCAGGCCUCAUUAAACAAGUUGUGAAACAUCAUAGUCAGUUUAUCUAUACAAGAACUACGAAAGGAGAUGAUGCACAAUGAAAUUUGUACAUUAACCAGAAUGAAAUAAACUUUUGUUGCUCGUGAUUAUUCCUUUGAACUGAAUUAUUUUUUAAAUGAAUUAAGUUAGCAGCAAUAUAUCUCAUUUUCAACCUGUGGUAUACCUUAAGCUAUUUUAAGUGUAACAUGUUUGUAGGGAAAGAGAUUUCACUAAAUCUAUACUUUUUUAACAUAUGAAAUAGAAUAUAACAUAGUUGAAAAUAAACAUAUUUCAGAUAAAGCAUGGAAAAAUAUUCUUGUCUAUUGGUUAAGCCAGAAGAUCGACUGCUAAUAGAGCUGGUAAGGUAUCAAGAUGGCUGAACUGUUCUGUUGUGCUGUAUGCUCAAAGUUUGACAUUUGUUCUAUUUAGAUAAAUUAAGUUGAUUUAAAAAUACAUAUAUAUAAAUCAGUAGGUAGGGAAAAAAUGAUAAACAGUGUGUUAAAGAUUUCAUUAGUCCCUAUUUAGCUAAAAAAUGGUUUACUUAAAAUCUGAUCAUGUUUUUGCAGUAAUAAGUGUCAUUACGUUAUUAACUUAAAACAAUUAUUUAAAGGUCAGUUAUGGUAAAAGGUGGUGGAUCAUGAACUUUCUGUAACCAUUAUUAAAGCUAUUUAGUCUGUAAUUACCUUAUUGUAGACUGUAAGUUGUGCAAAGCCGUUAUUGAUAAAUAUUUGAAUUGAGAAGACUUAAAAUUUCUUAAGAUUGGUAUUCAUUUUCAUAUGCAAGAUUUUUAACUAGAUGAUUUUGGUAUUGACAGAAACUGCAUGCUAUAUUGUAGAAGUAAAUACAUGCCACAAUUUCACAGAUAAACUUGCUAAAGGAAUCAAAAAAUGGUUUAACUCGACCACAUUUCUGUGUUUAGUUUGACUCAUCUAUGUAUCUUGUUUUCAAAGAACAGUUUUAGCUUGAACUUGAAGUAAAUAUUCUAAACAGAAGAUGAAUACUAGAAUGGUAACUUAUUAAAUGUAUAUGAAUAAAAGAAAAAAAUCUUGAUUUACCAAAAUGUUCUUGACUUGUCUUAACAUCUAUUAUACAAGCAGUGAAACACUUUUUGUUGAAACAUAAACAAAGUAUAUAAAACACAACAACAUCACUUACUAUCAAAUUUGCAAUAUAUAAAUACAAAGGAUAUUCAAUAAAAAAAAAUAUAAGUUAUUGUAAAACUUUUAAAGAGUCUAAAUGAUAUAUCAAAGAGAAUUUUGGGGGUGGGGGAGAGAAAGAUUACAUAGUUCAAAAAGUUUAAAUUAUGUUUUUUAGAGUGAGGUGGUAUGUGCUGGGAAUUACCAUUUUAUGAUGAAGUUUCUUAGAUUUGUUAGAAAAAAAAAUAGCAUAAACAAAAGGAGAUUUCAGCACAAACUCCUGUUAGGUGGCACUCAAAGUGUUUGAGUACAUGCUAGUUUCUCAUCUUACUAAUCUAUGCUUAGCUGCUUUUGUCAGCCAGACAUUAAAAGUAUUUGACAAAAAUGUUUUUCUGAAGAUAAGCAUGUAUGAAGGUUGGAACUUAAAAGAACUGAGAAAAAAAAAGGGGAGAGCUUCAGCUAAGAAUUGCCUGCAUUUCAGAUUGGAAAUGAUUAGUUAAAAGAUUGAAGGCCUGUGACAGAUAUUUCAAAUUUUAGGAAAGAUCUUAUGUCACUACCAGACCUAGUAACUAGAAGACGUCAACACCAGAUGCCUUAUAUAAAAAUGUUACUGCCAACUCUCCUCUUGUAACAUCUGAAGAAUGCAUUAAAUUAUAUUUCAAUUCAUGAUUCAGUCUUUUUUUCAUAACAUCUUUUGAAAAAUCAUUUAGUGCAAUGACUUUUUUAGCAGAUUCAUUUGAAUUUGUACGAUUUAUGUAUAUUAUAAAGUAAGAAUUCAAAAUAUGUUUCUAUAUAAUUGUUUAAAGUUUAAUUUGUUUUUCUACAUAAGUAAAUGUUAAACUGUUACAAAGAAAAUAUUAGUUACUGAUUAUUGUAAAAACCUUAAGGUGAUAAAUGUAAAUUAAUAGAAAUAUAUUAAGUAUUUGUUGCUUUUUUUUCUGGUUUGUGAAAUUCUUAAAAGUUAGUUUUGGAAUGAUUUCCUAUUUUUACUUUGCAUAGUCAGUGUCUGGCACAAAUGAGAACUUUAACCUAUGACAUUGAUAUUGAUUUAAAACAAUGGUGAAGUAAUAGCUUCUCAUUGUUAAUGCGUAGCUGAUAUGGGACCCAAUGCCCACUGUAACACAGAGGGGCAGCAUUGUAUAGUCUUCUUGAUUUAAAAAAAAUCGGAUCAAAUUUUUGUUGAACAUACUUGUACUGAUCGGCUUCAAAGCUUUCACAGACUAAUAGUGGUUCUCCUGUAAAAGCAGCUAACCUUGAGAAAACCACUAAAAAUAAAAUCAAAAACAUAAUUUAUGAUCUAGUUGAGUUACAGUAGACUGAAACUGAUGAACAGUACAGAGCUCAAAUAUGAAAUGUAAGAUUAGUUAUGAUGAUCAAACACAUUAAAGUGUCUUUUUCUGAAA